rnacentral:tRNA from 1 species
AGCCCGGUAGUGUAGCGGCCAAGCAUGUGGGGCUUUGGACCCCGCGACCUCGGUUCGAACCCGAGCCGGGCUACCA